AAAUAAUUUUUCAUUAAUUUCUCGUUUUUCACCCCAACCACAUUUUUCCAUCCUCUUUCUAAAACAUCAUCUUUGGCAAUUUUUUUAAAAGGCCAAAAGUAAAUAUAGUAGUUAUUUGCCUACACUAUGAUAUGGGCUAAUUUAAAAAAUAGAUAAGUUUUGUUAUUUGUGUAAACUAGAUUGUAUUUGUAGUAACUACUAUGGGCAAUAUUGAAAAAAUCAUGUAAUAUGAUCAUUACCUGUAUAAAAAGUAAAAGUCAAUCACGUGUAUAAACAUCAAUAUAUGAAAUAAAUAGAUCCAUUUUCUUAAUUCUUUCUUUUCUCUGUUUCUCUUUUUUUUUCUUAAUCCCUCUUCUCCUUUCCUCUACUUUUUUCCUCUGUGAAUUUUACUCUCUACAUUUUGGCUCGUAUGAAUAAGUAUUAGAGCCGUCAAUGUUUGCUACGAUUGGUUAUGGAAUAAAUCUAUCAAAUGAGGUCAUUGAUCAAUUACUUGUACAUUUGGAGUCCAAAACCAAUAAUUAUUUGGAGUGGUUGCAAAGCAAAAUACAAAAUGAUCAUAAGACCUUUUGCCCAAAAGCACCUUUGGUGCUCGAUCAAAUGCUUGUGAGAAUGGAUGAGAUAGUCUGUGAUAUGUAUGUUAGUGAUGCAUUCAACACAGUACGAAACCACAUAUGGAAUCAAGGCCAUCAUUGUCAAGUUAUGAGAAGGGGCUGCCUUCAUCAACUAAACCUAUCUCUAAUUUCAUAUCAUCAAAUGACAAUGAGAAAUUAGUUAAGCAAUCAGCAAUAGUGGGAAAUAAUGUUGAAAGGCAUGCAAUCUUUUUCAAUGGAAAAGGUUGAAGAAAAUUUUGUGGCAAACAGAGGCAUGCCUUCUAAAAAUGGGGAGGUUGAAUUGAAUAUGAAUCAAACCAUGAGAAGAGAGGCUACAACUUAUUAUUGUUCUCAAUGUUAUCUUUAAAGUAUUUGGUCUUUGGAACUUUUGUUGUUUGUUUACUAGAACAAAUUCAGAUUGGGUUUUAUUGUUCACCCAUCUUCUAAUAUAGCCCUGUAUAACACUUGUUUAGGUACACUUAAGCUCAUCGUACUUCAUAUUUUCAUCUGCUUCA